rnacentral:rRNA from 1 species
CGGACGGGUGAGUAACGCGUGGGCAACCUGCCCCAUACAGGGGGAUAACAGUUAGAAAUGACUGCUAAUACCGCAUAAGCGCACGGCAACGCAUGUUGCUGUGUGAAAAACUCCGGUGGUAUGGGAUGGACCCGCGUCUGAUUAGCCAGUUGGCAGGGUAACGGCCUACCAAAGCGACGAUCAGUAGCCGGCCUGAGAGGGUGGACGGCCACAUUGGGACUGAGACACGGCCCAAACUCCUACGGAAGGCAGCAG